rnacentral:rRNA from 1 species
UACGUAGGUGGCAAGCGUUUGUCCGGAAUUACUGGGCGUAAAGCGCACGUAGGCGGCUUUGUAAGUUAGAGGUGAAAGCCCGGGGCUCAACUCCGGAAUUGCCUUUAAGACUGCAUCGCUAGAAUUGUGGAGAGGUAAGUGGAAUUCCGAGUGUAGAGGUGAAAUUCGUAGAUAUUCGGAAGAACACCAGUGGCGAAGGCGACUUACUGGACACAUAUUGACGCUGAGGUGCGAAAGCGUGGGGAGCAAACAGG